rnacentral:misc_RNA from 1 species
UUCUUGGCGUUGGCUUUACGGGUAGUGGUGAGCUUUAUCCUUUUCCAUACUAGACCUCCUGAGUCAUGCUUCUUCACUAUCUCUAUUAUUCUUGUUCCCCAAAAUGCCCCUACCAUUUCUCUCCUCUGUGCGUCUAUAUAGGGUUCUCUCCAGCUAUUGAGUCUGUUUCAGUAACUGUGAUUGUGUCUGCUCUUACCACAAAAAAAGAGAACUGGCAAUUGGAACGAAGAGGAAGUUGG